GAACAACGAUGGAGGAGCAAGGUCGACCAACAGGAAAAGACAGGAUGACGAGUCCAUUUCCCAUCUCUAUGCAGCAACCAAUAUGGCUCAAGGUUCAGAAGAAAUUUGAGGCUGACCAGGAUCCUGAAGUGAAGAGCAGUCCCUCUCCCAUUUAACAGCGUUCAUGAGCAGAAAGUGCGGAAGCAGAGAUAGCCACCUCUGAAGGUCAGUCUGGAGUGUUUUCUGCUGCAUUCAGAAAGUAUGGGGUGUAUAGUAGUUAGGAAUACUUUUAAGGCUGAACAGGAUCCUGAAGUGAGGAGGACUCCCUCUUUGAACUGCAUACAGCAGCAGAAAGCAGGAUUUCAGUUCCCCUUUGAUUCAGAAGAGGAACAACAAUGGAGGACCAAGGUCAUUAAUAUAAGAAGAGUCUAUUCCUGUCUGUGUUUUGCAGCAGAAGAAAGUUAAGACUGACUAGGAAUUCUAAGUGAGGAAGAGUCCCUUUCCCAUUCCGCUGCAGCCAUGAGGAGAAUACUCGUAAGAAUCAGACUUUACUUCUUUUUCACCUAUGGAACUUCAUCAUGACCCACUUUAACAGGCAGGAGUCUUACAAUAUUUUCAAGGAAUUUGACAAGGGAAGAGGACCAGUGCUGACCAAGUGAAGAAAAAGAAGAGUCUAUUGCCAAGCUUUGUACAGCAGCCAAUAUCUGAUUAAGGAGUGGGCAGAUGGUUAUGCUGGCAUUGAUCCUGUUUCCAAAAGCAGAUCAACAUGAUUCCUCAAGACUCCAAAGAGAUCAACUAUGGGACCUGAAAAUAAAGGCAGACUGCCAUCAAUUUCAUGUUUCUUUGAUAGCAGUCAAAUAUGCUUCAACAAUAGUGCAGAGAGUAAUUUAAGGUUUGGACUGCAAGUGAUGGACACACUAAAUAACUCAACUCAAAGAAUUCAAUGGAUAGUGCUGAGUACAUUAUUAUAUAUCUACAAAGUGAUGGGCACACUAAAUAGCUUAACUGACAGAUUUCAAUGGACCGUGCUGAGAACAUUGUUAUAUAUCUACAAAGUGAUGGACACAC